GGGUCAGGGUUCUGUACUAUAGGAGGAAACAAGAUGGGGCAUGUGGUUUUCAAGGAAAAAUAUUGGAACUGAUGCCUUGCGUUGAUCUCUCUGAUCUGGUCGGCCUGGCGCGGGAACUGAGCCGCCGUCGAUGAAUUUAUCGCAGCUUGGCUACCUAUUGAUUUGGAUCCGCUUUGAAUGCAGGUAGGUUUGUUCAUAGGUUUAUGCGGCGCAUGUACUGGCAUAAUACUUGUUGAAGCACCUCCCUGGCUUCCUUGCCUUGCUGCUCUAGCACCAGCCUCGCCACCACUAAGGAUACCCAUCAUGUGUUUAGGAUCCCACACAUGGCGGUUCUUGACAUGCUUCGAGCACACCUUGGGCUAUCACCAGCUCAGUACGAGCGUGUUGUUCAUGAGGGAGGGUCGAUUUGAUUGACUAAAUCUGUAGCCAGCCAGAACCGAGGUUCAGGUCAUUCUUGUACGAACAUCUACGUUGCCAUCCCAGUAAAAGGGCAGCUUGAUUGAAUCAUGUUUGGUUAAAAGAAGUUCAGAAUCUGCAUCUCUAACUCUUCAUCGAUGAUCAAGAAACUCAUUCUUUGAUGAUUUUUUAUUCACUUGCAUGUGUUCCGGCAUUAUUAUUAUGAACCUGUGACAAAUAUCUUUUUAUGCUACUGUAGUGAGCAUCAUGCUAGCUAUUAUGAUGCUGUACUGAAGUGCUAAUCAUGUGAGUGAAUAUAUAUUAGUUGGUUUAAGCAUCAGUGAAUAUUAUUUACCCCAUAAAUCUGCACAUAAUUUUCUAUGCUAUGUGGUAGGUUUUUCUAAUUGUUGGUCAUUUGAUCCCGAUAUGAUCUCUUACUUAGGUGCUUGCUGCACCCAUAUAUUUUUAGAGCAGAGGAGAUGGUACAUCAUAUAGUUUGGUCACGAGGUUUAUUUUUUACCACUGGCUAUGUAGGUUUUGUGCUAGAAUGCAUUUCGUACACAACUAUUAGCUAUGCUUAAUUGUGUUUAGCAACUUCCUUGCAGCUCGUGCGUUGCAGAAUUUUAUAAUUAGCAAGAAUUUUACCUCCCUGGACUGAAUAAUUAGCUGACUUGGCACUAUAUAUGUUCAUAUCUGAUUGUGCGAUGUGUGAAAUUAAGUUGCAGCCCUUAGUAUACUUCAUUUUUUCCCUUUGCUUCCUUCAUAUUUUCCUAUAAAUUAACUAGAAGCUUUAUAUUUUAUGAGAUGCAUGGGCACUUAUCGUUGCAGCAUGAGUUGCCACCAAAUCAGAUUAGAAUUUUUUUAAGCAGAUUCCUAUAUUUUGAAAUAGUUAUGCUGAUCACAUUGCUUAGAUGGUUCAUGUCUUAUUUUGUAAUGUACUUCAUCGUGUCUCAAGCUUUAUGUGCUUAAUGGUGAGACGUCUCACAUGAUCUUAAAUAUGAUCAGCGAAAACCUGAGUACGUGCACGUUUGUCUUGGCUUUUUGGGGUUUGAUAUUCUUGAUGCCGUAAAAGAUUGUAAUAUGUAGCUUCUUCAAUUUUUAGGUGCUGGAGAUGUAUAGAACAGGACGAAGUUUACCCUGAAUAUGCCGUCUAUCCCCUUCCUGAAGGCAAAGCUUGGGUGACACAUCUCUUGGCAGUGGCUUGCCUAUCUCUCGCUUCAAAGAUGGAGGAGACAUAUGUGCAGCUCCCCGUGGACCUACAGAUGGUUGAGGCAAAUUCUGCGUUUGAGGGAAGGACAAUAAAAAGGAUGGAGCUUUUGGUGCUCAGCACCUUCAAAUAGAGGAUGCAAGCUAUUACUGCUUGCUCAUUUAUUGACUACUUCCUUUGCAAAUUCAAUGAUCAUGACGCACCCUCCAUGCUCGCAUUCUCCUGUUCGACCGACCUCAUCCAGAGCACAGCUAAAGGCCAAAGGAAUCUUGCGCAUAAAACAAGAUAAUGACCAAGAAGAGCAUGUGAGGGGCCAGCAGGUGUUUAUCCCGAGUGAUUUCAGUGUUUGUCAAGCCUGAUUAAGGCCGUCAUGCUUAUUCUCGACAUGCAAUGGAUUCUUAUGUCUGUUUAGGCCUAACCUCACCAAACUUUGCUACACUUCACAUCAUGAGGGAGGGAGGAUGCGUCCAUUGCAACACAAGCAAAUCAGGUGACAAGGUGUUUGGAGAAGCUACUCAUAGCUAACUACAUAGUUUAGUACAAUGUAUUAAAGCAGUGUAAAUAAAUAACUUAUAUGGCCUGCUUUUGGUACAUAGUACCGAACCUUGAUCUUUAGGUAUUUCAUGCUACAAUUUUUAACAAAUGCACCAAUGGUUUGUAACGAGAUUUGAUGUUUUGCAUUGGACCAUUACUGUUGUAAGUAAAUAUUAUCUUUUGCUUUUUGAGU